rnacentral:rRNA from 1 species
AAUGAACGCUGGCGGCGCGCCUAAUACAUGCAAGUCGAGCGAGAAGACGUAGCAAUACGCUUGUAAAGCGGCGAACGGGUGAGGAAUACAUGGGUAACCUACCCUAGAGUGGGGAAUAACUAGCCGAAAGGUUAGCUAAUACCGCGUACGCUCCUUGGACUUCGGUUCAGGGAGGAAAGCGAUACCGAGGGUAUCGCGCUCUUGGAUGGGCUCAUGUCCUAUCAGCUUGUGGUGAGGUAACGGCUCACCAAGGCUUCGACGGGUAGCUGGUCUGAGAGGACGAUCAGCCACACUGGCACUGCGACACGGGCCAGACUCCUACGGGAGGCAGCAGUAAGGAAUAUUGCGCAAUGGGCGAAAGCCUGACGCAGCGACGCCGCGUGGGGGAGUGAAGGUCUUCGG